UACAGAGGGGGCAAGCGUUAUUCGGAAUUAUUGGGCGUAAAGGGCGCGUAGGCGGCGAUUCAAGUGACGGGUGAAAUCCCUCGGCUUAACCGAGGAACUGCCUGUCAGACUGGAUUGCUUGAGGCCGGGAGAGGCGAGUGGAAUUCCCAGUGUAGCGGUGAAAUGCGUAGAUAUUGGGAGGAACACCAGUGGCGAAGGCGGCUCGCUGGACCGGUUCUGACGCUGAGGCGCGAAAGCUAGGGGAGCGAACGGG
rnacentral:rRNA from 1 species